rnacentral:rRNA from 1 species
ACGAACCGUGCGAACGUUGUUCGGAAUCACUGGGCUUAAAGGGCGCGUAGGCGGUCGGCCAAGUCCGGGGUGAAAUCUUUCGGCUUAACCGGAAAAGUGCCUUGGAUACUGGCUGGCUGGAGGGAGGUAGGGGCAGGUGGAACUUCCAGUGGAGCGGUGAAAUGCGUUGAUAUCCAGUGGAACUCCGGUGGCGAAGGCGGCACGCUGGACCCGAUCUGACGCUGAGGCGCGAAAGCCAGGGGAGCAAACAGGA